UACAGAGGGGGCAAGCGUUGUUCGGAAUCACUGGGCGUAAAGCGCACGUAGGCGGAUGUGCCAGUCAGGGGUGAAAUCCCGGAGCUCAACUUCGGAACUGCCUCUGAUACAGCACGUCUUGAGUCCGGAAGAGGUGGGUGGAAUUCCUAGUGUAGAGGUGAAAUUCGUAGAUAUUAGGAAGAACACCGGUGGCGAAGGCGGCCCACUGGUCCGGUACUGACGCUGAGGUGCGAAAGCGUGGGGAGCAAACAGG
rnacentral:rRNA from 1 species